GACGAACGCUGGCGGCGUGCUUAACACAUGCAAGUCGAGCGGAAAGGCCACUUCGGUGGUACUCGGGCGGCGAACGGGUGAGUAACACGUGAGUAAUCUGCCCCUGGCUUUGGGAUAGCCACCGGAAACGGUGAUUAAUACCGGAUACAACCACUUCUCGCAUGGGAUGGUGGUGGAAAGUUUUUUCGGCCAGGGAUGUGCUCGCGGCCGAUCAGCUUGAUGGUGAGGUAAUGGCUCACCAUGGCUUCGACGGGUAGCCGGCCUGAGAUGGUGACCGGUCACACUGGGACUGAGACACGGCCCAGACUCCUACGGGAGGCAGCAGUGGGGAAUAUUGGACAUGGGCGGAAGCCUGAUCCAGCAACGCCGCGUGAGGGAUGACGGCCUUCGGGUUGUAAACCUCUUUCAGCAGGGACGAAGCGCAAGUGACGGUACCUGCAGAAGAUGCACCGGCCAACUACGUGCCAGCAGCCGCGGUAA
rnacentral:rRNA from 1 species